AGUUCAGACAUGUGCUGUUCCGAACUCCUGCAAUUCGCAUCAGUUCACGCGGUUAGCCGCGCUCUUCAUCUACAGACGAGCCAAGUGAUCCCCAUCCAGGGUUUCUAUAUUUACUACUACUACUGACGAUGAC